UACGGAGGGUGCAAGCGUUAAUCGGAAUUACUGGGCGUAAAGAGUGCGUAGGCGGUUUGAUAAGCGGAGUGUGAAAUCCCCGGGCUUAACCUGGGAACUGCAUUCCGAACUGUCAAGCUAGAGUAUGAUAGAGGGUGGUGGAAUUCCGAGUGUAGCGGUGAAAUGUGUAGAGAUCGGGAGGAACACCGGUGGCGAAGGCGGGUCUCUGGGCAAUUCCUGACGCUGAGGCGCGAAAGCGUGGGGAGCAAACGGG
rnacentral:rRNA from 1 species